rnacentral:rRNA from 1 species
GGAGUUAGCCGGUGCUUCUUCUGUGAGUGAUGUCCUUCCUGCCGGCUAUUAACCCGCAGGCCUUCUUCCUCACUGAAAGUGCUUUACAACCCGAAGGCCUUCUUCACACACGCGGCAUGGCUGGAUCAGGGUUGCCCCCAUUGUCCAAUAUUCCCCACUGCUGCCUCCCGUAGGAGUCUGGGCCGUGUCUCAGUCCCAGUGUGGCUGAUCAUCCUCUCAGACCAGCUACGGAUCGUCGCCUUGGUGAGCCGUUACCUCACCAACCAGCUAAUCCGACAUAGGCUCAUCCGAUAGCGCGAGGCCCGAAGGUCCCCCGCUUUCCCCCGUAGGGCGUAUGCGGUAUUAGCCUGGGUUUCCCCAGGUUAUCCCCCACUACCGGGCAGAUUCCUAUGCAUUACUCACCCGUCCGCCGCUCGCCACCAGGGAGCAAGCUCCCCGUGCUGCCGCUCGACUUGCAUGUGUUAGGCCUGCCGCCAGCGUUCAAUCUGAGCCAGGAUCAAACUCGA